CCUACGGGCGGCAGCAGUGGGGAAUAUUGGACAAUGGGCGAAAGCCUGAUCCAGCCAUGCCGCGUGUGUGAAGAAGGCCUUCGGGUUGUAAAGCACUUUCAGUGGGGAAGAAAGCCUUGGGGCUAAUACCCUCGAGGAAGGACAUCACCCACAGAAGAAGCACCGGCUAACUCCGUGCCAGCAGCCGCGGUAAUACGGAGGGUGCGAGCGUUAAUCGGAAUUACUGGGCGUAAAGCGCGCGUAGGCGGUCUGAUAAGCCGGUUGUGAAAGCCCCGGGCUCAACCUGGGAACGGCAUCCGGAACUGUCAGACUAGAGUGCAGGAGAGGAAGGUAGAAUUCCCGGUGUAGCGGUGAAAUGCGUAGAGAUCGGGAGGAAUACCAGUGGCGAAGGCGGCCUUCUGGACUGACACUGACGCUGAGGUGCGAAAGCGUGGGUAGCAAACAGGAUUAGAUACCCCGGUAGUC
rnacentral:rRNA from 1 species